GAUGAACGCUGGCGGCGUGCCUAAUACAUGCAAGUCGAGCGAAUGGAUUGAGAGCUUGCUCUCGAGAAGUUAGCGGCGGACGGGUGAGUAACACGUGGGUAACCUGCCCAUAAGACUGGGAUAACUCCGGGAAACCGGGGCUAAUACCGGAUAACAUUUUGAACCGCAUGGUUCGAAAUUGAAAGGCGGCUUCGGCUGUCACUUAUGGAUGGACCCGCGUCGCGUUAGCUAGUUGGUGAGGUAACGGCUCAACAAGGCAACGAUGCGUAGCCGACCGGGGAGGGUGAUCGGCCACACUGGGACUGAGACACGGCCCAGACUCCGACGGGAGGCAGCAGUAGGGAAUCUUCCGCAAUGGAAGAAAGUCUGACGGAGCAACGCCGCGUGAGUGAUGAAGGCUUUCGGGUCGUAAAACUCUGUUGUUAGGGAAGAACAAGUGCUAGUUGAAUAAGCUGGCACCUUGACGGUACCUAACCAGAAAGCCACGGCUAACUACGUGCCAGCCGCCGCAGUAACAC
rnacentral:rRNA from 1 species